CUGGCUCAGGAUGAACGCUAGCGACAGGCCUAACACAUGCAAGUCAGGGGCAGCACAAGGAGCAAUCUGAGGUGGCGACCGGCGCACGGGUGAGUAACACGUAUGCAACCUGCCUGUAAGCGGGGAAUAACCCGUUGAAAGACGGACUAAUACCGCAUAAUACUAAAUUACUGCAUGGUAAUUUAUUUAAACAUUUAUGGCUUACAGAUGGGCAUGCGCAUGAUUAGCUAGUUGGAGAGGUAACGGCUCCCCAAGGCAACGAUCAUUAGGGGUCCUGAGAGGAAGGUCCCCCACACUGGUACUGAGACACGGACCAGACUCCUACGGGAGGCAGCAGUGAGGAAUAUUGGUCAAUGGACGAGAGUCUGAACCAGCCAAGUCGCGUGCAGGAAGAAUGUCCUAUGGAUUGUAAACUGCUUUUGCAGGGGAAUAAAGUGAGCCACGUGUGGUUUUUGUAUGUACUCUGCGAAUAAGGAUCGGCUAACUCCGUGCCAGCAGCUGC
rnacentral:rRNA from 1 species